UACGGGGGGAGCAAGCGUUGUUCGGAUUUACUGGGCGUAAAGAGCUCGUAGGCGGCCUGUUGCGUCCGCUGUGAAAUCCCGGGGCUCAACCCCGGGCCUGCAGUGGAUACGGGCUGGCUGGAGGCAGGCAGGGGAGAACGGAAUUCCUGGUGUAGCGGUGAAAUGCGCAGAUAUCAGGAGGAACACCGGUGGCGAAGGCGGUUCUCUGGGCCUGUUCUGACGCUGAGGAGCGAAAGCGUGGGGAGCGAACAGG
rnacentral:rRNA from 1 species